rnacentral:rRNA from 1 species
GUAGGUGGCAAGCGUUGUCCGGAAUUACUGGGCGUAAAGCGCGCGCAGGUGGUUCUUUAAGUCUGAUGUGAAAGCCCCCGGCUCAACCGGGGAGGGUCAUUGGAAACUGGGGAACUUGAGUGCAGGAGAGGAAAGUGGAAUUCCACGUGUAGCGGUGAAAUGCGUAGAUAUGUGGAGGAACACCAGUGGCGAAGGCGACUUUCUGGCCUGUAACUGACACUGAGGCGCGAAAGCGUGGGGAGCAAACAGGGAUUAGAUACCCUGGUAGUCCACGCCGUAAACGAUGAGUGCUAAGUGUUGGGGGGGUUUCCCGCCCCUCAGUGCUGCAGCUAACGCAUUAAGCACUCCGCCUGGGGAGUACGGUCGCAAGACUG